UACGUAGGGCGCAAGCGUUAUCCGGAAUUAUUGGGCGUAAAGAGCUCGUAGGCGGUUUGUCGCGUCUGCCGUGAAAGUCCGGGGCUCAACUCCGGAUCUGCGGUGGGUACGGGCAGACUAGAGUGAUGUAGGGGAGACUGGAAUUCCAGGUGUAGCGGUGAAAUGCGUAGAUAUCUGGAGGAACACCGGUGGCGAAGGCGGCGUUCUGGACUGCAACUGACACUGAGAAACGAAAGCCAGGGGAGCAAACGGG
rnacentral:rRNA from 1 species